UAUUACCCGUCUCUUAACACGAUAUACGGUAUAGUAACUAUCAUCGUGUAGACUUGACUACGAGGAGAUUUUUUAUUUUUUUAAUUGCUGUCGUGGAACUUCCCGAGGCCCGUAUUCCUGUAUAGCAGGUUCAUUCGAUCAAUUAAUUUACACGCGCACGGUGUGUUUGCAAUUAGUGGUUAACAGUCCCGUGUAUUGUACGAUUAAUCUAAAAUAAUAUGCAACAUUUCUGAAAUAACAUAUUUUUUACCUAUCUGACAUUUUAACAGUGAUCAGAAGGGCUCGACCCU